AAAUAUAUUUCAUUUCAGAAUAUCUUCUCAUAACAUAUAUAAUGAAUUGAUGGUAAUAUUAUUCAUGUUACCAAAUCAACUAUUUUGGUCUCCUUACAAAAAAUAAAGGGUUAACAGUUUUUGUACAUAUCAUGUUUAUUAAAAAGUCACUUAUGCACCUUUUAAGCGUCAAAAUGCUGCUAAGUCCCUGAAGCGUUGGAACGUUUCACAAAAAAGUGUAAAGCGCUCGUUUGAGGCACUAAAGCACUACUUUUAGGCACUAAAGCGCUAGUUUUGAGCGUUUAAACGCUAUGAACCAUGAAAAGCCAUGCUUUAGUGCUUUAGGGAUGUUCAGCUCCAGCCUAGCCCACGAGAGAAUCAUCGUGCACCCUAAAGCGAGCCCAUCAGGCAGCAUCCGCCAUCCGCUCGCUGCCCCUGCCCCUGCGCCUGUCAUCCACCGCGGCACCGUCGUCGACUCCCCUGCACUUUGUCCACUCCUGCGACUGCCAUCCAUUGCCGCUGAGUGAAAUGGCAAGCAGUAGUGAUGUGAAUGCAUCUGUAGCUGGCAGUCAAAGUGAUGGCUAUGAUCCUUUAAAAGAUCCAGCAAGGAAAGGAGAUUGAGAUGAUGGUUACUAAGAGAUCAUAGAUGGAAGGGAGAUUGAGAGUGAUGCUUGUGUCAUUGUGGUUGUGGGCAUGUCAUUUUAGUUAAUUGUGUGCUUGUGUUUGUCACAUACUCACAUGUCAUUUUAGAACAUGUCGUUUUAGUUGAUUGUUUGCUUGUGGUUGUGGACAUGUCAUCUUAGAACUUGUUAUUAUGAGAGGUUGGUAUUUCCCCUGAUAUUAUUAUACGAACUUAUGUUAUAUUGAUAUUUUA